CAAUAGCGUAUAUUAAAGUUGUUGCAGUUAAAAAGCUCGUAGUUGGAUUUCUGGUGGGAGCGAUCGGUCUGGCGCUUAGCGCGAGUACUUGCAUCGUCUCCGGCCAUCCUUGGGGAGAGUCUGUCUGGCAUUAGGUUGUCGGGCAUAGGAUCCUCAUCGUUUACUGUGAAAAAAUUAGAGUGUUCAAAGCAGGCUUAUGCCGUUGAAUAUAUUAGCAUGGAAUAAUAAGAUAGGACUUUGGUACUAUUUUGUUGGUUUGCGCACCAAAGUAAUGAUUAAUAGGGACAGUUGGGGGUAUUCGUAUUCCGUUGUCAGAGGUGAAAUUCUUGGAUUUACGGAAGACGAACUACUGCGAAAGCAUUUACCAAGGAUGUUUUCAUUAA
rnacentral:rRNA from 1 species